CCUACGGGUGGCAGCAGUGGGGAAUAUUGCACAAUGGGGGAAACCCUGAUGCAGCGACGCCGCGUGAGUGAAGAAGUAUUUCGGUAUGUAAAGCUCUAUCAGCAGGGAAGAAAAUAAUGGUACCUGACUAAGAAGCCACGGCUAACUACGUGCCAGCAGCCGCGGUAAUACGUCGGGGGCAAGGGUUAUCCGGAUGUACUGGGUGUAAAGGGUGCGUAGGUGGAGGGGCAAGUCAGGUGUGAAAGUCCGGGGCUCAACCCCCGUACUACAGUUGAAACUGUCAAGCUGGAGUGCAGGAGAGGUAAGCGGAAUUCCUAGUGUAGCGGUGAAAUGCGUAGAUAUUAGGAGGAACACCAGUGGCGAAGGCGGCUUACUGGACUGUAACUGACACUGAGGCACGAAAGCGUGGGGAGCAAACAGGAUUAGAUACCCGGGUAGUC
rnacentral:rRNA from 1 species